rnacentral:rRNA from 1 species
GACGAACGCUGGCGGCGUGCUUAACACAUGCAAGUCGAACGGAAAGGCCCUGCUUUUGUGGGGUGCUCGAGUGGCGAACGGGUGAGUAACACGUGAGUAACCUGCCCUUGACUUUGGGAUAACUUCAUGAAACUUGGUCUAAUACCGGCUAGGAGCUCCUGCUGCAUGGUGGGGGUUGGAAAGUUUCGGCGGUUGGGGAUGGACUCGCGGCUUAUCGGCUUGUUGGUGGGGUAGUGGCUUACCAAGGCUUUGACGGGUAGCCGGCCUGGGAGGGGGACCGGCCACAUUGGGACUGAGAUACGGCACAGACUCCUACGGGAGGCAGCAGUGGGGAAUAGUGCACAAUGGGCGGAAGCAUGAUGCAGCAACGCAGCGUGCGGGAUGACGGCCUUCGGGUUGUAAACCGCUUUCGCCUGUGACGAAGCGUGAGUGACGGUAAUGGGUAAAGAAGCACCGGCUAACUACGUG